CCUACGGGGGGCAGCAGUGAGGAAUAUUGGUCAAUGGACGAAAGUCUGAACCAGCCAUGCCGCGUGAAGGAUGACUGCCCUAUGGGUUGUAAACUUCUUUUAUAUAGGAAGAAACCCCUCUACGUGUAGAGGGUUGACGGUACUAUACGAAUAAGCACCGGCUAACUCCGUGCCAGCAGCCGCGGUAAUACGGAGGGUGCAAGCGUUAUCCGGAAUUAUUGGGUUUAAAGGGUGCGUAGGCGGAAAUUUAAGUCAGUGGUGAAAGCCUACAGCUUAACUGUAGAAUUGCCAUUGAAACUGAAUUUCUUGAAUCUAAUUGAAGUAGGCGGAAUAUGACAUGUAGCGGUGAAAUGCUUAGAUAUGUCAUAGAACACCAAUAGCGAAGGCAGCUUACUAAGUUAGUAUUGACGCUAAUGCACGAAAGCGUGGGGAGCGAACAG
rnacentral:rRNA from 1 species